rnacentral:rRNA from 1 species
AUUGAACGCUGGCGGCAGGCUUAACACAUGCAAGUCGAGCGGGGUGAUGGUGCUUGCACUAUCACUUAGCGGCGGACGGGUGAGUAAUGCUUAGGAAUCUGCCUAUUAGUGGGGGACAACAUCUCGAAAGGGAUGCUAAUACCGCAUACGUCCUACGGGGGAAAGCAGGGGAUCACUUGUGACCUUGCGCUAAUAGAUGAGCCUAAGUCGGAUUAGCUAGUUGGUGGGGUAGAGGCCUACCAAGGCGACGAUCUGUAGCGGGUCUGAGAGGAGUAUCCGCCACACUGGGACUGAGACACGGCCCAGACUCCUACGGGGGGCAGCAGUGGGGAAUAUUGGACAAUGGGGGGAACCCUGAUCCAGCCAUGCAGCGUGUGUGAAGAAGGCCUUAUGGUUGUAAAGCACUUUAAGCGAGGAGGAGGCUCCUUUGGUUAAUACCCAGAAUGAGUGGACGUUACUCGCAGAAUAAGCACCGGCUAACUCUGUGCCAGCAGCCGCCGUAA